GRACCAUGAUUACGCCAAGCUAUUUAGGUGACACUAUAGAAUACUCAAGCUAUGCAUCCAACGCGUUGGGAGCUCUCCCAUAUGGUCGACCUGCAGGCGGCCGCGAAUUCACUAGUGAUUAGAGUUUGAUCAUGGCUCAGAACGAACGCUGGCGGCACGCCUAACACAUGCAAGUCGCACGAGAAGUCGUAGCAAUACGAUUGUAAAGUGGCGCACGGGUGAGAAACACGUAAAUUAUUUUCCCUUUGGAUCGGGACAACAAUUCGAAAGGAUUGCUAAUUCCGGGUAAGCUCGGUUGGUUGUAAGAACUAGCCGAGGAGAGCGGCCCUCUGAUCUAAGGUCGCGCCAGAGGAUAAGUUUGCGGCCCAUCAGCCAGUUGGUAGUGUAACGGACUACCAAGGCUAAGACGGGUAGCUGGUCYGAGAGGACGAUCAGCCMCMCUSGGACUGAGMCACG
rnacentral:rRNA from 1 species